GACCGGAUAACUGGUUUUCUCGCAUGAGAGAAUCAUGAAACACGGAGCAAUCUGUGGCUUAUAGAUGGGCCUGCGGCGCAUUAGCUAGUUGGUAGGGUAACGGCCUACCAAGGCGACGAUGCGUAGCCGACCUGAGAGGGUGAACGGCCACACUGGGACUGAGACACGGCCCAGACUCCUACGGGAGGCAGCAGUAGGGAAUCUUCCGCAAUGGACGCAAGUCUGACGGAGCAACGCCGCGUGAGUGAUGAAGGUUUUCGGAUCGUAAAGCUCUGUUGCCCUAGACGAACAGCAAGGCGAGUAACUGCGCUUUGUGUGACGGUAUAGGAGAAGAAAGCCCCGGCUAACUACGUGCCAGCAGCCGCGGUAAUACGUAGGGGGCAAGCGUUGUCCGGAAUUAUUGGGCGUAAAGCGCGCGCAGGCGGUUAAUUAAGUUGGGUGUUUAAGCCCGGGGCUCAACCCCGGUUCGCAUCCAAAACUGGUUGACUUGAGUGUAGGAGAGGAAAGUGGAAUUCCACGUGUAGCGGUGAAAUGCGUAGAGAUGUGGAGGAACACCAGUGGCGAAGGCGACUUUCUGGCCUAUAACUGACGCUGAGGCGCGAAAGCGUGGGGAGCAAACAGGAUUA
rnacentral:rRNA from 1 species